rnacentral:lncRNA from 1 species
GGGCCAAUCAUGAACAUACACGUACAAUCAGGCUCUUUCAGAAACCAAUCAUGAACACCACUGACUCAUGGAACAGGUCUCUAAAAAGCUUAUUUUCGUUUGAGGGAAGCAUCUUAUUUUUUAUCUGUCAUUUGGGUGACACUGUCAACUUGCUUUGCUGAGGCUAAAACCUGUGAUUUGACCAGUUUUGAGAUGGAUAACUUCACCAGCAACACAUGGGCUUCACUUGCUCUUCUGGAGAUGUUCGAUUUCAUCGAUGAUCUGAUCGAUGCUCUGCUCGAUGAUCGGAUGGAUGUUCAGACCGAAGCUCUGACCCAUGCUCUGAUCCAUGCUGGGCUCAAUGUUCAGAGCAAUGUUCGGAUCGAUUUUGGGAAACAUGCUCUGAUCGAUGAUCUGAUCGAUGCUCUGAUCAAUUUUCAGACUGAUGAUCUGAUGCAUACUCUGAUCGAAGCUCUGAUCAUUUUUCGUAUCGAAGCUCCGAUCAGUGUUUGGUUCAAUGCUUGGAUCCCUGCUCCGAUCCAUACUUUUACCCGUCUGCUGAGGGACCCCCUGAUUGAGAGCCUUCCUAUCUUCUAUCAGCAACGCAGAAAUCCUCUUCAGCUCUUCUUCUCCGCCAUGACAACCGAUCCAGGCCAGAAGCAAUGGGUAGACAAGGGCAGAUGCUCGGAGCGACCACAAAAAGACCAAGCUACUACUACUCCUCCUCCGGAUGUGUGGUCUUCAGCCUCCCCUUGGGGCGAGGACUAUAUCAAGGACCAGGGCCAGGACUAUAACAAGGACCAGGGCCAGGACUAUAACAAGGACCAGGGCCAGGACUAUAACAAGGACCAGGAGCAGGACUAUAACAAGGACCAGGACCAGGGCCAAGGUAACGGAUGGAGAAGGACUAUAACAAGGACCAGGGCCAGGACUAUAACAAGGACCAGGAUAAGGGCCAAGGUAACGGAUGGAGAAGGACUAUAACAAGGACCAGGGCCAGGACUAUAACAAGGACCAGGGCCAGGACUAUAACAAGGACCAGGGCCAGGACUAUAGCAAGGACCAGGGCCAGGACUAUAACAAGGACCAGGAGCAGGACUAUAACAAGGACCAGGACCAGGGCCAAGGUAACGGAUGGAGAACACAUGGACGACAUGGAGACCUAUGUGACAUCGCUGCCCUCCUGUUUCUGGGUUGUCAGUAGUUAACCUCUCUGGGCCAGUGGGACGCUUGCGUCCCACCUACUCAACAGCCAGUGUCAUCCCGUGGCGCGAUAUUCAAAUACCUUAGAAAUGCUAUUACUUCAAUUUCUCAAACAUAUGACUAUUUUACACCAUUUUAAAGACAAGACACUCGUUAAUCUAACCACACUGUCCGAUUUCAAAAAGGCUUUACAACGAAAGCAAAACAUUAGAUUAUGUCAGCAGAGUACCCAGCCAGAAAUAAUCAGACACCCAUUUUUCAAGCUAGCAUAUAAUGUCACAUAAACCCAAACCACAGCUAAAUGCAGCACUAACCUUUUUAUUCUCUUCAUCAGAUGACAAUCCUAGGACAUUAUGUUAUACAAUAUAUGCAUGUUUUGUUCAAUCAAGUUCAUAUUUAUAUCAAAAACCAGCUUUUACAUUAGCAUAUGACUAGCAUGUGACUAGCAUUCCCACCGAACACUUCCGGUGAAUUUACUAAAUUACUCACGAUAAACGUUCACAAAAAACAUAACAAUUAUUUUAAGAAUUAUAGAUACAGAACUCCUUUAUGCACUCGCUAUGUCCGAUUUUAAAAUAGCUUUUCGGUGAAAGCACAUUUUGCAAUAUUCUGAGUAGAUAGCCCGGCCAUCACAGGCUAGCUAUUUUGACACCCACCAAGUGUGGUACUCACCAAACUCCGAUUUACUAUUAGAAAAGUUUGAUUACCUUUGCUGUUCUUCGUCAGAAUGCACUCCCAGGACUUCUACUUCAAUAACAAAUGUUGGUUUGGUUCCAAAUAAUCCAUAGUUAUAUCCAAAUAGCGGCGUUUUGUUUGUGCGUUCAAGACACUAUCCGAAGGGUAAAGAAGGGUGACGCGCCCGACGCGUUUCGUGACAAAAGAUUUCAAAAUAUUCCAUUACCGUACUUCGAAGCAUGUCAAACGCUGUUUAAAAUCAAUUUUUAUGCCAUUUUUCUCGUAAAAAAGUGAUAAUAUUCCAACCGGGAGUCGUUGUUUUUGUUCAAAGAGAGAGAAAGUAAACAUGGUGUCGGCUCGUGCACGCGCCUCCAGUCUCAUUGUCCUCAGAUCGACCACUUACUAAAUGCGCUAAUGUUUUUCAGCCAUGGCAUGCAAAGCCACCAUUCAUCGUUCUGGCGCCUUCUGAGAGCCUAUGGGAGCGUUAGAAAAUGUCACGUUAUGCCAGAGAUCCCCUGUUUUGGUUAGAGAUGAUCAAGAAGGCCAAGAUAUAGUCAGAGAGAGCGCUUCCUGUUUGGAAUCUUCUCAGGUUUUGGCCUGCCAAAUGAGUUCUGUUAUACUCACAGACACCAUUCAAACAGUUUUAGAAACUUUAGGGUUUUUCUAUCCAAAUCAAACAAUUAUAUGCAUAUUCUAGUUACUGGGCAGGAGUAGUAACCAGAUUAAAUCGGGUACGUUUUUUAUCCGGCCGUGCAAAUAGUGCCCCCUAUCCCCAACAGGUUAACAUAGCCACACAAAGUCAACAUUGGCUAAAUUGUAAACAUUAAUCAAGACAAAAAUUAGCUUUUUAGUUUUAAUUUAAAGUUAGGGUUAGGCAAAAGGUUAGCAGUAUGAUUAAGGUUAGGGUUAGGUUUAAAAUCACAUUUUAAGAAGAUAAACUGUAGAAAUAGGCGGGGUUUAUGACUUUGUGGCUGUGGUAACUGGUGACGAGCGAUAGCACCAACCCCCAAGGGAGAUUAGCUGACAUCAUGGCGUCAACUAAUGGAGAUCUUAAUAAAAUUCAAGUUCACUCUGUCGUCUCUUUCCCUUUCUCCAUAUCUCUCUGUGGUUCUUUCUCUCUCUUGCGGAUUACCUUCAUUUUGAUGUGAGGUGAAGCGAUGAAGACUGAUAAAAGAGUCUUUGUUUACUCCCCUUCAUGGAUCCAAGACUUAACAAGCGCCCACUUACUAACGUUACACAAUUCAGCUUUGCUUUGACAUCCGCUAUCAGAUCCAUGAAGGGGAGUGAACAAGGGCAGGAGAGACCAUCUUCCUGGAAUGAAACAGGCUGAGUUUAAAGUGUGACCAUGCUAUUUUGUAAAAAUAUUGUAUUGUAGUUCAGAACCUCUACUCCUGUCAGGUCAGUCUAUUUUUGAUUGCUACUGGUGACCCUGUAACCCGGUACUAUCCUGUGUCAGUAAUUUUAGAUAUAUAUGGUUAAAUUCAAAAAGAUUUGUAAUAUUGAUAUUGUGCGUGACGUAAAUAUGUCCUUUGGAGUGGAACUUGAGGCAGAAGCUUUUUCUGACUCUGAGCAGGCGACAAAGAUUCUAUACAGACGCAAACGUCGGGAAAGCAUGGAGGAGCCUAUAUUUUUUAGCUCAGAAACUGAGAUCUACAUAAGUAAAGAUGCAGAUUAUCAGACAUUGAGAGUGAAAAACAAUGGCAUAGACUCUUCUCAACGCAAACGUAGGAAUGGCUUACAUAUUCCACCAAAUUUUUGAGCAGAGCUGUAACAUGCACACUGCAACAUAUACAUGCUUUAUGUAUACUUCAGAGAUACAUAGUCACACUUUAAACCAGGUAUACUCUAUCUAAUAAAGCCUUCAUGACACCUUCAUAAUGUCCUACAUAGAGGCUACAUAAAUCAUUUGAAAUGUCAUGCUGCAAGAAAAGGUGAUAUAACAGGUCCUUUGUUAUGGUCCCUCCCCAAAUGUAUAACGCCUAACCCCAAAAAGGUUGAGACAACAUGUUCUAAGUUGCCAAUGAUGCAAAUGUUACAUCAGGUCUUAGGCCUGAAAGAGACAGUUGUUUUGGUCUAUUUCUGACUCACCUAAGGUGUUUUUAAGUAUAUUAGCUUAAAGGGCAUCUCCACCACUUUUUAACCUCAUUCUCAUUAUGUCCAGCACAAUACCAGUGUCAACAUAUGUGAACACGGCACAUUUGUGCGUUUUGUAGAAAAAUUAUAUUAAAAGACAUCAAAAGUUAAAACAUUUAAAAAUCUGUGAUUUUCACGGUAACCUGGGGAGCAAGAUAAUAUCCUCCAUUGGGCCAGAAACUUGUUGAAGGUUUUGAAAAACACUUACUUUUAAUCCUAACCUCUGCAUUUUUAAGGACCUUGUCUUUUAAACCCCAGAUCACAGAAACGCCCUGUUUUCACAUAUUUAGACACUGGUUUUGUCUUGGAGUUGAUGAAUAUAAGGUUGAGAAAUAGCGGAAUUGCUCUUUAACAUUGUUCAGAAAAUCCUGGAAAGCAUUGAAAAUGUACCAAUGUAUUAUUCAAAAUCAUGGCGCAACAUUGCUUUUGAACCAGCUAACAAACUGUUUGUUAAUUGUUUAGAUGAAUUAACAACACCCUAGAUAAGUAAGAACUGUCCCUUCAACAGAUUAUUUAUAUAUUUUUAUAUAUAUUUAUAUUUGUUUGAUGUAAUUUGCAUGUAUAUAUGGCUUACUUGAAUUCAAGUGACUGUCAGAUCACAAUUAACAUUGCAUGGAGCAUGAGUUAUACUCGAAGGAGGUAGACAGAAGGACGGCAUAUUAACCAUUUGAGCUUCAUUGCUCUGUAGAAAAUGUGCCCUACAUCAAAAACUGUUUGUCACCCUUGAUACAGUAUAAGGUUAAACUACUGUCAUACUAACAUCGAUGAUUGCUCCUUCUGUGUUUUAAAUAUAGAUAUCGUUUGUAUUUUUAAUAUGUUAAUAAAAAUCUGCUAUUUUAUUUUUGUCCCCAUGCAGUCCUAAUUUUAAACUGAGUAAAUUAAGACUGAUUAAUUGUUUUAGAACAAAAUACACAUUUCCUGUAUCAUUAGCACAACCUUGUUAUAUUGGGACAAAAACCUAUCCAAUGUAGAACACUUUUUGAAUCCUCUUAGAAAGGCUCUCAGGAAAUGUACUGGGAUGAUCAUGUCUUAAAAUAAGGUUGACACUAAGAAACAACAUUUACUGGGAUUAACAUCUAAACCACGAAAUGUAUGACUGACUGGAAAAAUAACUGUCACUGGACAAUGAGAUGAAUAAGUCAGAUCAGAGUUUACAAUCUGUCAAAUACUUACUGUUUAAAACAUUCAGGAACUACACUGAGUGUACAAAACAUGAUGGACACCUGUUCUUCCAUGACAUACUAUAGACUGACUGAACAGGUGAAUCCAGGUGAAAGCUAUGAUAUUUUAUUGAUGUCACUUGUUAAAUUCACUUCAAUCAGUGUAGAUGAAGUGGAUGAGACAGGUUAAAUAAUAAUUGUAAGCCUUAGGACAAUUGAGACAUGGAUUGUGUAUGUGUGCCAUUCAGAGGGUGAAUGGGCAAGACAAAAGAUUGAAGUGCCUUUGAAUGGGGUAUGUUAGUAGGUGCCAGGUGCACCGGUUUGUAUCAAGAACUGCAACACUGCUGGGUUUUUCAGCCUCAACAUUUUCCUGUGUGUAUUAAGAAUGGUCCAUCACCCAAAAGACAUCUAGCCAACUUGACAUUUUACAUUUACAUUUUAGUCAUUUAGCAGACGCUCUUAUCCAGAGCGACUUACAGUAGUAAAAGUUCAUACAUUUAAUUUCAUGCAUUUUCUUUUUUGUUGUUGUUGUACCGGCCCCCCGUGGGAAUCGAACCCACAACCCCGGCGUUGCACACACCAUGUUGGCGUUGCAAACACCAUGCUCUACCAACUGAGCCACAGGGAAGUAGGAAGCAUUGGUGUCAACAUGGGCCACCAGCAUCCCUGUGGAACGCUUUCGACACCUUGUAGAGUCCAUGCCCCGACGAAUUGAGUCUGUUCUGAGGGCAAAAGGGUGCAACUCAAUAUUAGAAAGUUGUUCAUGUUUUGUCCACUCAGUGUAUGUUAACAGUUCCAUUAUACAGGUGUGCUAUUCAGAGGACAAAAGGACCCAUAUCAUUACUAGCAAAAAACUUGGAAAGAGAACUGCCAAUUAUCAAUUAACAUUUGAAGAGUUUCAUUCAGAGAGUUUCAAUGCUAUAUAUCCAUUUUAUGAAAUUGUUGUAAUUGAACUUUUUUGGUUUAAUAAGGAUCUGACCAUAAAAAAUAAAUGUUUUGCCUAAAAUGGCAUACCCAAGGAUAUGCAUAUUCUUGAUACCAUUUGAAAGGAAACACUUUGAAGUUUGUGGAAAUGUGAAAUAAAUGUAGGAGAAUAUAACACAUUAGAUCUGGUAAAAGAUAAUACAAACAAAAAAACAUGUGUUUUCAGUUUAUGAAUGGUCUAUGUUUCUUCGUUUUUUAAUGACUCGAGCCGGUUGACGACGAUCAUAAAAUGGCAC